AUGAAUUAACUUCCUUUUUUAUUUGUAAAAUAUUUUAUUUGUCAAAUCCAUUAGUCAGAAAAUAUUUUUAAAAAUAUUAAGAGACUAUCAUCUGAGCGAAGCGACAAAUUAUUUAUAAUUUAAUUGAAUUCGAAUUGUUUUUUAAGUAAAAAAUCGCUCGGUAAAAGAAUAAAAAUUCAUAAAGGAAUCGAAGAAUUGCCAUCUGCUCUAGAACAAUUUUAACAGAAAAAGGCAUGAAAUGGGAAAGGAUUUUGAAGAAUCUAAGGAAAUUCACUGAAUUCGGAAGACUUUGAUGAAAUUCAUAAGAAUUUGAGGGGAUAGAAAAAAAAACUUAAACAAUGAUUUUGAAAAAAUCGAAUAAAUUGAGAUAAAUAUAAGGAUAAUAAGAAAUAUUCGAUGGAAUUCAUAAAAGUUUGUGGCGAAUAAAAAAAACUCAAGUGAAUAAAAAAUGAUAAAGAAAUA